rnacentral:rRNA from 1 species
UACGUAGGUGGCAAGCGUUGUCCGGAAUUAUUGGGCGUAAAGCGCGUGUAGGCGGCCAGAAAAGUCCGCUGUGAAAACUCGAGGCUCAACUUCGAGCUGUCGGUGGAAACUUUCUGGCUAGAGUCCGGAAGAGGAGAAUGGAAUUCCUGGUGGUAGCGGUGAAAUGCGCAGAUAUCAGGAAGAACACCCGUGGCGAAGGCGGUCUCUGGGACGGUACUGACGCUGGAGA